rnacentral:rRNA from 1 species
UGGUGGCUGCGACUGUUUAAUAAAAACACAGCACUCUGCAAACACGAAAGUGGACGUAUAGGGUGUGACGCCUGCCCGGUGCUGGAAGGUUAAUUGAUGGGGUUAUGCGUAAGCAGAAGCUCUUGAUCGAAGCCCCAGUAAACGGCGGCCGUAACUAUAACGGUCCUAAGGUAGCGAAAUUCCUUGUCGGGUAAGUUCCGACCUGCACGAAUGGCGUAAUGAUGGCCAGGCUGUCUCCACCCGAGACUCAGUGAAAUUGAAAUCGCCGUGAAGAUGCGGUGUACCCGUGGCAAGACGGAAAGACCCCGUGAACCUUUACUAUAGCUUGACAGUGAACAUUGAGCCUUAAUGUGUAGGAUAGGUGGGAGACUUUGAAGCAUGCACGCCAGUGUGUGUGGAGUCGACCUUGAAAUACCACCCUUUAAUGUUUGAUGUUCUAACCUAUACUUCUGAAUCGAGGUAAGGGACACUGUCUGGUGGGUAGUUUGACUGGGGCGGUCUCCUCCUAAAGUGUAACGGAGGAGUUCGAAGGUACGCUAGGUACGGUCGGACAUCGUGCUAAUAGUGCAAUGGCAUAAGCGUGCUUAACUGCGAGACCGACAAGUCGAGCAGGUACGAAAGUAGGACAUAGUGAUCCGGUGGUUCUGUAUGGAAGGGCCAUCGCUCAACGGAUAAAAGGUACUCUGGGGAUAACAGGCUGAUUCCUCCCAAGAGUUCAUAUCGACGGGGGAGUUUGGCACCUCGAUGUCGGCUCAUCACAUCCUGGGGCUGUAGCCGGUCCCAAGGGUAUGGCUGUUCGCCAUUUAAAGUGGUACGUGAGCUGGGUUUAAAACGUCGUGAGACAGUUUGGUCCCUAUCUGCCGUGGGCGUUGGAAAUUUGAAGGGGGCUGCUCCUAGUACGAGAGGACCGGAGUGGACGAACCUCUGGUGUACCGGUUGUCACGCCAGUGGCAUUGCCGGGUAGCUAAGUUCGGAAGAGAUAACCGCUGAAAGCAUCUAAGCGGGAAACUUGCCUUGAGAUGAGAUUUCCCGGAGCCUUGAGCUCCUUGAAGGGUCGUUCGAGACCAGGACGUUGAUAGGCUGGGUGUGGAAGUGCAGUAAUGCAUUAAGCUAACCAGUACUAAUUGCCC